GUGACCUGCGGAGGAUCAUUAUCGAGUUUGGGUCCUCUGGGCCCCUUCUCCAACCCUUGUUGCUUUGGCGGGCCCGUCCCUCACCGGACGGCUGGGGAUACCCCCCGGCCCGCGCCCGCCGAAAAAACACACCCCUCAAAUUCAUCGAUCAGUGAUGUAUCUAAAGCUUUUGAAAAGCAAUUACCAAAACUUUCAACAACGGAUCUCUUGGUUCUGGCAUCGAUGAAGAACGCAGCGAAAUGCGAUAAGUAAUGCGAAUUGCAGAAUUCCGCGAGUCAUCGAAUCUUUGAACGCACAUUGCGCCCUCUGGCAUUCCGGAGGGCAUGCCUGUCCGAGCGUCAUUAUCAACCCCUCAAGCCCUGGCUUGGUCUUGGGUCCCGUCGGGGUCAGUUGGAGCCCGACGGAUCCGAAAGGGAAUGGCAGGGCCCGUGGGAACCCUGGAUGCAGCGAGCUUUACGGCACGCGUCACGGUGGACCCCGGGCUCGGUUGGAACCGAUUAUCUUUCUGUGAUUGACCUCGGAUCAGGUAGGGAUACCCGCUGAACUUAA
rnacentral:rRNA from 1 species